rnacentral:rRNA from 1 species
AACGGAGGAUGCAAGCGUUAUCCGGAAUGAUUGGGCGUAAAGCGUCCGUAGGUGGCUGUGUAAGUCUAUUGUAAAAGCAUCAUGCUUAACAUGAUAAGGGCGGUGGAAACUACACAGCUAGAGUGCGUUCGGGGCAGAGGGAAUUCCUGGUGUAGCGGUGAAAUGCGUAGAGAUCAGGAAGAACACCGGUGGCGAAAGCGCUCUGCUAGGCCGCAACUGACACUGAGGGACGAAAGCUAGGGGAGCGAAUGGG